rnacentral:rRNA from 1 species
CUGCUGCCUCCCGUAGGAGUUUGGGCCGUGUCUCAGUCCCAAUGUGGCCGUCCACCCUCUCAGGCCGGCUACUGAUCGUUGCCUUGGUGAGCCGUUACCUCUCCAACUAGCUAAUCAGACGCGGGUCCAUCUCAUACCACCUCAGUUUUUCACACCAAACCAUGCGGUUUUGUGCGCUUAUGCGGUAUUAGCAGUCAUUUCUAACUGUUAUCCCCCUGUAUGAGGCAGGUUACCCACGCGUUACUCACCGUCCG